rnacentral:rRNA from 1 species
AUUGAACGCUGGCGGCAUGCUUUACACAUGCAAGUCGAACGGUAACAGGCCUUCGGGUGCUGACGAGUGGCGAACGGGUGAGUAAUGCAUCGGAACGUGCCCAAUCGUGGGGGGAUAACGUAGCGAAAGUUACGCUAAUACCGCAUAAGUCCUGAGGGGGAAAGUGGGGGACCGCAAGGCCUCACGCGAAUGGAGCGGCCGAUGUCAGAUUAGCUAGUUGGUGGGGUAAAGGCUCACCAAGGCGACGAUCUGUAGCGGGUCUGAGAGGAUGAUCCGCCACACUGGGACUGAGACACGGCCCAGACUCCUACGGGAGGCAGCAGUGGGGAAUUUUGGACAAUGGGUGCAAGCCUGAUCCAGCAAUGCCGCGUGUGUGAAGAAGGCCUGCGGGUUGUAAAGCACUUUCAGUGGGGAAGAACAGAUUCGGGUCAAUACCCCGGAGCCCUGACGUUACCCACAGAAGAAGCACCGGCUAACUCCGUGCCAGCAGCCGCGGUAAAG